GAUGAACGCUGGCGGCGUGCCUAAUACAUGCAAGUCGAGCGAACAGACGAGGAGCUUGCUCCUCUGACGUUAGCGGCGGACGGGUGAGUAACACGUGGAUAACCUACCUAUAAGACUGGGAUAACUUCGGGAAACCGGAGCUAAUACCGGAUAAUAUAUUGAACCGCAUGGUUCAAUAGUGAAAGACGGUUUUGCUGUCACUUAUAGAUGGAUCCGCGCCGCAUUAGCUAGUUGGUAAGGUAACGGCUUACCAAGGCAACGAUGCGUAGCCGACCUGAGAGGGUGAUCGGCCACACUGGAACUGAGACACGGUCCAGACUCCUACGGGAGGCAGCAGUAGGGAAUCUUCCGCAAUGGGCGAAAGCCUGACGGAGCAACGCCGCGUGAGUGAUGAAGGUCUUCGGAUCGUAAAACUCUUUUAUUAGGGAAGAACAAAUGUGUAAGUAACUAUGCACGUCUGGACGGUACCUAAACAGAAAACCACGGCUAACUACGU
rnacentral:rRNA from 1 species